rnacentral:rRNA from 1 species
AUACGUAGGGAGCGAGCGUUGUCCGGAAUUACUGGGCGUAAAGGGCGCGUAGGCGGCGCUUCAAGUCGUCUGUCAAAUGGGAGGGCUUAACCCUUUUUCGCAGACGAAACUGGAGAGCUUGAGAAGCAGAGAGGCAAACAGAAUUCCUGGUGUAGCGGUGAAAUGCGUAGAUAUCAGGAAGAAUACCAGUGGCGAAGGCGGUUUGCUGGCUGCAUACUGACGCUGAAGCGCGAAAGCCAGGGGAGCGAACGGGAUUAGAUACCCCGGUAGUCCUGGCAGUAAACGAUGUAUGCUGGGUGUGAGACUAGCGAUAGUUUCGUGCCGAAGUUAACGCGAUAAGCAUACCGCCUGGGGAGUACGGUCGCAAGAUUGAAACUCAAAGGAAUUGACGGGG